rnacentral:rRNA from 1 species
GUGAGGAAUAUUGGACAAUGGGCGCAAGCCUGAUCCAGCCAUGCCGCGUGCAGGAAGACGCAUCUAUGGUGUGUAAACUGCUUUUGUACGGGAAGAAACACUCCCUCGUGAGGGAGCUUGACGGUACCGUAAGAAUAAGGAUCGGCUAACUCCGUGCCAGCAGCCGCGGUAAUACGGAGGAUCCAAGCGUUAUCCGGAAUCAUUGGGUUUAAGGGGUCCGUAGGCGGUUUAAUAAGUCAGUGGUGAAAGCCCAUCGCUCAACGAUGGAACGGCCAUUGAUACUGUUAGACUUGAAUUACAAGGAAGUAACUAGAAUAUGUAGUGUAGCGGUGAAAUGCUUAGAUAUUACAUGGAAUACCAAUUGCGAAGGCAGGUUACUACUUGUGGAUUGACGCUGAUGGACGAAAGCGUGGGGAGCGAACAGGAUUAGAAACCCGAGUAGUCC